rnacentral:rRNA from 1 species
AUUGAACGCUGGCGGCAGGCCUAACACAUGCAAGUCGAGCGAGCGGCGGACGGGUGAGUAAUAUCUGGGAAACUGCCUGAUGGAGGGGGAUAACUACUGGAAACGGUAGCUAAUACCGCAUACCAUCAAAUGUGCCCCGAUGGGAUGAGCUAGUAGGUGGGGUAACGGCUCACCUAGGCGACGAUCCCUCGCUGGUCUGAGAGGAUGACCAGCCACACUGGAACUGAGACACGGUCCAGACUCCUACGGGAGGCAGCAGUGGGGAAUAUUGCACAAUGGGGGCAAGCCUGAUGCAGCCAUGCCGCGUGUGUGAAGAAGGCCUUCGGGUUGUAAAGCACUUUCAGCGGGGAGGCGUUACCCGCAGAAGAAGCACCGGCUAACUCCGUGCCAGCAGCCGCGGUAAUAC